rnacentral:rRNA from 1 species
GACGAACGCUGGCGGCGUGCUUAACACAUGCAAGUCGAACGGAAAGGCCCUGCUUUUGUGGGGUGCUCGAGUGGCGAACGGGUGAGUAACACGUGAGUAACCUGCCCUUGACUUUGGGAUAACUUCAGGAAACUGGGGCUAAUACCGGAUAGGAGCUCCUGCUGCAUGGUGGGGGUUGGAAAGUUUCGGCGGUUGGGGAUGGACUCGCGGCUUAUCAGCUUGUUGGUGGGGUAGUGGCUUACCAAGGCUUUGACGGGUAGCCGGCCUGAGGGGGUGACCGGCCACAUUGGGACUGAGAUACGGCCCAGACUCCUACGGGAGGCAGCAGUGGGGAAUAUUGCACAAUGGGCGGAAGCCUGAUGCAGCGACGCCGCGUGCGGGAUGACGGCCUUCGGGUUGUAAACCGCUUUCGCCUGUGACGAAGCGUGAGUGACGGUAAUGGGUAAAGAAGCACCGGCUAACUACGUGCCAGCAGCCGCGGUGAUACGUAGGGUGCGAGCGUUGUCCGGAUUUAUUGGGCGUAAAGGGCUCGUAGGUGGUUGAUCGCGUCGGAAGUGUAAUCUUGGGGCUUAACCCUGAGCGUGCUUUCGAUACGGGUUGACUUGAGGAAGGUAGGGGAGAAUGGAAUUCCUGGUGGAGCGGUGGAAUGCGCAGAUAUCAGGAGGAACACCAGUGGCGAAGGCGGUUCUCUGGGCCUUUCCUGACGCUGAGGAGCGAAAGCGUGGGGAGCGAACAGGCUUAGAUACCCUGGUAGUCCACGCUGUAAACGGUGGGUACUAGGUGUGGGGUCCAUUCCACGGGUUCCGUGCCGUAGCUAACGCUUUAAGUACCCCGCCUGGGGAGUACGGCCGCAAGGCUAAAACUCAAAGGAAUUGACGGGGCCCCGCACAAGCGGCGGAGCAUGCGGAUUAAUUCGAUGCAACGCGUAGAACCUUACCUGGGUUUGACAUGGAUCGGGAGUGCUCAGAGAUGGGUGUGCCUCUUUUGGGGUCGGUUCACAGGUGGUGCAUGGCUGUCGUCAGCUCGUGUCGUGAGAUGUUGGGUUAAGUCCCGCAACGAGCGCAACCCUUGUUCACUGUUGCCAGCACGUUAUGGUGGGGACUCAGUGGAGACCGCCGGGGUCAACUCGGAGGAAGGUGGGGAUGACGUCAAGUCAUCAUGCCCCUUAUGUCCAGGGCUUCACGCAUGCUACAAUGGCUGGUACAGAGAGUGGCGAGCCUGUGAGGGUGAGCGAAUCUCGGAAAGCCGGUCUCAGUUCGGAUUGGGGUCUGCAACUCGACCUCAUGAAGUCGGAGUCGCUAGUAAUCGCAGAUCAGCAACGCUGCGGUGAAUACGUUCCCGGGGCUUGUACACACCGCCCGUCAAGUCAUGAAAGUUGGUAACACCCGAAGCCGGUGGCCUAACCGUUGUGGGGGAGCCGUCGAAGGUGGGACUGGUGAUUAGG